CGCGUCUAUCAUGCAAGUCGAGCGCAGGAGCAAGCUGAUCCCCUUCGGGGGUGACGCUUGUGGAAUGAGCGGCGGACGGGUGAGUAACACGUGGGCAACCUGCCUGUAAGACUGGGAUAACCCCGGGAAACCGGGGCUAAUACCGGAUAAUACUUUCUUUUGCAUAAAGGAAAGUUGAAAGGCGGCUUCGGCUGUCACUUACAGAUGGGCCCGCGGCGCAUUAGCUAGUUGGUGAGGUAACGGCUCACCAAGGCGACGAUGCGUAGCCGACCUGAGAGGGUGAUCGGCCACACUGGGACUGAGACACGGCCCAGACUCCUACGGGAGGCAGCAGUAGGGAAUCUUCCGCAAUGGACGAAAGUCUGACGGAGCAACGCCGCGUGAGUGAUGAAGGUUUUCGGAUCGUAAAACUCUGUUGUUAGGGAAGAACAAGUAGGAUAGUAACUGAUCGUACCUUGACGGUACCUAACCAGAAAGCCACGGCUAACUACGUGCCAGCAGCCGCGGUAAUACGUAGGUGGCAAGCGUUGUCCGGAAUUAUUGGGCGUAAAGCGCUCGCAGGCGGUCCUUUAAGUCUGAUGUGAAAUCUCGCGGCUCAACCGCGAACGGUCAUUGGAAACUGGAGGACUUGAGUACAGAAGAGGAGAGUGGAAUUCCACGUGUAGCGGUGAAAUGCGUAGAGAUGUGGAGGAACACCAGUGGCGAAGGCGACUCUCUGGUCUGUAACUGACGCUGAGGAGCGAAAGCGUGGGGAGCGAACAGGAUUAGAUACCCUGGUAGUCCACGCCGUAAACGAUGAGUGCUAGGUGUUAGGGGGUUUCCGCCCCUUAGUGCUGAAGUUAACGCAUUAAGCACUCCGCCCUGGGGAGUACGGCCGCAAGGCUGAAACUCAAAAAGAAUUGACGGGGGCCCGCACAAGCGGUGGAGCAUGGUGGUUAAUUCGGAGGCACGCGAGACUUUACCAAGGUCUGACAUCUCUGCUAUCCUAGAGAUAGGAAGUCCCAUCCGGGACGGAGUGACAUGUUGUGCAUGGAUGUCGUUCAGCUCGUUCUGAAUGUGUUAAGUCCGCACGGAGCACUGACUUAGUGCAGACUAGUGUCACUUAGGGUACUUGCGGGUA
rnacentral:rRNA from 1 species